GGGUCAGUAGGUUGGUCGUGCCACCGGUACGUACUGGUCUCACUGAUUCCUCCUUCCUGAAGAACCGUAGUGCCAUUAAUUUGGUGUUGCGGGGAAACAGGACCGUUACUUUGAAAAAAUUAGAGUGUUUAAAGCAAGCUAACGCUUGAAUACAUUAGCAUGGAAUAAUGAAAUAGGACGAUCGAUCCUAUUUUGUUGGUUUCUAGGAUUGACGUA
rnacentral:rRNA from 1 species